rnacentral:rRNA from 1 species
AAACCAACAGGGAUUGCCUCAGUAACGGCGAGUGAAGCGGCAACAGCUCAAAUUUGAAAUCUGGCUCUUUCAGGGUCCGAGUUGUAAUUUGUAGAAGAUGCUUUGGGUGUGGCUCCGGUCUAAGUUCCUUGGAACAGGACGUCGUAGAGGGUGAGAAUCCCGUAUGUGACCGGCUGCCUCCGCCUGUGUAAAGCUCUUUCGACGAGUCGAGUUGUUUGGGAAUGCAGCUCAAAAUGGGUGGUAAAUUUCAUCUAAAGCUAAAUAUUGGCCAGAGACCGAUAGCGCACAAGUAGAGUGAUCGAAAGAUGAAAAGCACUUUGGAAAGAGAGUUAAACAGUACGUGAAAUUGUUGAAAGGGAAGCGCUUGCAAUCAGACUUGCGCGCGGCCGAUCAUCCGAGGUUCUCCCCGGUGCACUCGACCGCGCUCAGGCCAGCAUCGGUUUCGGUGGUGGGAUAAAGGCCGUGGGAAUGUGGCUCCUCUCGGGGAGUGUUAUAGCCCAUGGUGCAAUGCCGCCUACCGGGACCGAGGACCGCGCUUCGGCUAGGAUGCUGGCGUAAUGGUUGUAAGCGAC